UACUUUUUGUCCAUAAUUUUAACUGUUUUUGGCAUAAUUAACCUUGGCCUCCAUCUACGAUCCAAAAAGUUUUUAUACUGAUGAAAUCUAUAUCAAAAUUGGAGUCUUUUGGUUACAACACAUUCUGGAUCGUAGGUGGCGGCCAAGGUGUUUCAAAAGCUUUUGGGUCUGAAAAAUGCACAAAAUCAUCAUAUUUUGACAAAAUGUCCAAAAUGGGCUUACUUUGGCGAAUACCUUGUAGUCUUAUGAAAAGAACUGAUAUAUUUAGCAUUUAUACUUUUGAAAUAGACCCAUUUACAAACCCAAUUGAGACCUGUUUGGUUUUUUAUGAUAAAGUUGAUAUUUUAGGCCAUUUUGUGCCAUUAGUGAAC
rnacentral:lncRNA from 1 species